AACGAACGCUGGCGGCAUGCCUAACACAUGCAAGUCGAACGAGACCUUCGGGUCUAGUGGCGCACGGGUGCGUAACGCGUGGGAACCUGCCCUUAGGUUCGGAAUAACUCCCCGAAAGGGGUGCUAAUACCGGAUCAUGUCUUCGGACCAAAGAUUUAUCGCCUUUGGAUGGGCCCGCGUUGGAUUAGCUAGUUGGUAGGGUAAAAGCCUACCAAGGCGACGAUCCAUAGCUGGUCUGAGAGGAUGAUCAGCCACACUGGGACUGAGACACGGCCCAGACUCCUACGGGAGGGAGCAGAGGGGAAUAUUGGACAAUGGGCGAAAGCCUGAUCCAGCAAGGCCGCGAGAGUGAUGAAGGUAGUAGGGUUGUAAAGCUCUUUUACCCGGGAUGAUAAUGACAGUACCGGGAGAAUAAGCUCCGGCUAACUACGUG
rnacentral:rRNA from 1 species